UAGAAUUUGUUGGUCUUGGGCCAGCUUCCCUGCCCUGCCUGUUUUCUUCUUUGUGGUUUUAUGAAAGCGAAGGAGGAAACAGGCAGGCCAGGGAAGCGCUCUCUACCUCCCUCGCUGUCUU
rnacentral:precursor_RNA from 8 species